GGGUGUCCGCACAGCGCCUCUGGAUCGGCGGCCUUUUCCUUGCCCACCGCCGCCUCUGGCAGGCCCCGCCGCCUUUGUCUGCUUCCCGGAGCCACUCAUUGGGCGGCGGAGGACGCAGGCCCCGGGGCGGCCAGUGUGUCCCGGCCGCGAGGGCCACGGCAUCCGCGAGUUGCCAAGGUCACGGGGGCUUCGGGGAGCCGUGAGGCCGCUCCUGAGCACCCAUACCUGGCCCUCGGCCCCUUGCAAGAAGUUCAAGUGGGCCGAUGGGGUCCGGUGUCCACCGGUGAGAAACAGCAGCGCACUUUGUGCGAUCCCUGCGAGCCCGCAUGUGUGAUUACCCUCUGUUAAAAGGAUAAAAAGGCAACCUGACAGGUCAUCCUGUAGGAUUUUUCAGACUUGAAUACAAUAGAGAUACACUAGCAGAAAAGAGCCACUACACUUGUUUGCACCGUUCAGCCACAGCAAAGAUAAAAGUCCCAGAGUUACGGCUCUUCCCCAGGUUGCUGGAUUGUUGGCAUGUCCAGGAGACGUGGAUGUGCCACACACAUUGGCUGUGCCCUGUGCGUAGUCAAGUGCUCUGAAAGAAACCCAGGCAACUUCCUUGUCCUGCCUGGCUCAGGAAAUGUGGACACAGAAUCAUGAGGAGCGAGCAGGACAUUGGGGGGUGUGGAGAGAAAAGAGGGCUGACCAACACGGCCUGCAAAGAUGGUGCAGCACCACUAGACUGCUUUUCUUGCAGUGACAGGAAUGCAAACUGGUGAUGGAUUUUGAUCUGACUGAUCCAGAAGUGCCAUGCCAUGCCAGCCCAUCUGGCUGUGAGCUGCAGUUUUGUCAGUCCAGCAGCCCAAAGCAACUUACAGGCCUUCCUGUUUGGUGCUUCCUCCACGACAAUGCAGAGCCCUCUUCAGAGAUGCAGGUCCUUACAGCAGUUACUUCACCAGUGGAAAAAAUACUGAAUGAAGCAGAGCUGUCCUACUUGUCAUGUUCCUGCUCGACUUGCUGAGGCAUUUUCGAAACUCCUCUGAGCCCUGCACCCACUCCUUUGUAGGGUCCUCAGCACUGUGCAUGUCUCAGUGUGAGCCUCAGUCUCUCUCCCACAAGCUUUCAGUAACAGAAAUGGAAAGCAAAUCCAAGUCUUCGCCCCAUCAGAAACCGCAGCUGCAAAGCUGUCCUACUGUUGCAUAAGCUGCUUUUAUUUUUGAACCUUUAGACCUGUAGCACAUCCUCUGCAAAGGUUAAAUUCAAAAUUAGCUGCACAAGCAUAGAAAGGAGAGAGGAAAGUCUGUCUCUUGGCAUACAUUAUAGUCCCCAGCCCCCUCCAAAACAACAUGGAAGUGUCUCUGGUUCAAGGCAGCCUACACAACAGCGAGCUGCAGGAGCUGUAAGCUAUUAUUUUAGUUCCCAAGGAAAGUAAUUACUAUAGCAACCAACACAUCUGAAUGGCUCUUUGGCUGCUACCGAGAUACAAACAACUUGCGCACAAAGGCACAUCAGAAACGUGCUGUGUAAAACGUUCUCGGGGAGCUCUGCUUUUUGUAGAGCUUUAUAAAACGUGCAUAACAGGCUUCUGAGAAAUGACUGCCAGAAUAACAGCAAGCAAUUGUACCAUGCCAUGAUCCCAAAAUAACCUAAUCAAUGGCUCAGUAUAUUUGCCCCUGAAGAGAUGAAGCAAAAAAACUGCAGGCUCCAUUUUAAGCCUGUGUGCCGGGAAGUACCCAGCUGAGCUGAAGAUACAUUCAAUGAGCAGACAGUAAAAUGGUGGGGAAACGUCUCCCCUUUUGUUCUGUGUACUGAUGCAAACUCCCAGCAGGCUUCAAGUGCCAGCUCAUCCCUUGGGCUUAUACAGAGUUUGUCAGAAAAAGGGAUUUAAUUACAGCCUUGUAAUGCUAGAGGGUGUAAGAAGUCAUGUCUGCAUUCUUUUCUGUAUCUGUGCAGCACUCAACCCCCACAGACCCCAUCUCCAGCUGCAGUGCUGGGUACAUCACUUGCUAUUACUGAAUAAGGAAGCUUCUUGAGCAACAGCAAACUGUAAUCAUUGGCCAUUGCUUAAAUAUUACAGCAUUUGGAGUGUCUCUGUCACCUUCAAAUCAAAAUGCCAGUGGUGUAAUAACAGCUUGAUAGUUUCUGGUACCUGCCUGCAAAGCAGCACCACUUCAUGGUGCUGAGACAAACAGCUUAGAUCCCCAAAACGAGAUCUGGUCCAAGCAAUCUGGCCCAGGAGUAUUGUCCGAAAUUUCCCCACAGGACACAUACACACAUGUCACCUGUCUCAAGGAUGGUGAGUACCAUUAACAUCACACUCCUGCUCCAUUGCACAAGGCAGCUCUGAUGAAAAUGGCGGUUAUGGAUCUGGGUAACAGAGACAGAUAACAGAGAUCUCUGUUAUAGAGUUAGAUACUAUAAGGGUGCACAACAUGUCCCUUCCCAGAUCUGACCUGCCUUUUAAAAUGAUCUUUUAAUCAGUUGAGUCCUAAAGGCUUGCUCUGGGCCCAGAAUAAACUGAAAAUUACAGCUGGAUUUAACAUAAAGACAAAAUUAAGGAAGGAAAUGUAGUGAUGUAAUUUAUUACAGAAGUGCCCUACGACCAAAUAGAAAAAGGAUCUUGGCAUAGCAGGUUCUGCACGGCAGAGUUUUGGUUGACUGUAGCCUUUUAAGCAAAGUCACUUUAUUUUGGAUUAAAGAAAAACACCUGAGAAAAGCACAAAAAUAAAGAAUUCCUAAGAAAAUAGCACAAACAUAUAUGAAAUCCAAGGACUCACUUCUGUCUUGCAAAAUGGUAGCCACCCUAUAAGCACCAGGAGUUUUCAAACUGCCGGUCCCAGGGAAGUAAAUUCUCCUCUGUAAUUUUUCUCAUUAUAAGUUUGUUUUCUCAUAGUAGCUCCCUCUCAAAAAAAAAAAACAAAACAAAACACACCAACGAAAACCCAACAAAACAGUUCUUUAUCACAGUGUGCCUUUUUAUAAGCUCUUUGGUUGGGGAAAGACAGGACCACUCACUCACAGGGUGACUUCCCAGUUUGCCUUUGCUACUAAACAGGAAUAUCUUGCCUGGUUUAGAGGAGCUGGGACCAGUGGGACCAGGCUUCUGGGCAGCAUGUAACCUGCCUUCAUGCCACACCUCUGCUAUUCCUGCAGGGUCACUGGCUGCAAUAGAGCAGAUAAAUCCUUGUUGCUCACAAACAUUUUGUGGUUUGGGUCGGAAAAGGCUGCUGCAGUGCCUUUUCAGUGAGAGCAAGGGAAGAUACAGAGUAGAGAGCUAUUGCACUGCCCGGCUGCUCAUGCAGAGCUGCAGGGCAGAGAAGUGAAACCAAAGUCUCAGAGAUGAACAGCAAGCUCUUUUGAACACUCACCAGCUGUGGAAGUGCCCUGCUACCAAUGCCAGGUGGGUCCAGGCCCAAUACUGCGGUUUUCUCCUGCGAAGAAAGAAGAGAAAAAUGCAAGGAGCUUGCAUUUGACCAUCAUUGUAAGCAAAUCUCAGUGCCACAGUGAAUAAGGCCCAAAACAAACUCUUCCUUAAAAAUAGAAAUCCUCAAGGUCAUGAAGCAGGACUCUUGGAAUACCUUGCUCAGAUUCUAAAGCUGACAUUGCUUCUUACUGUUUCCUGCAAGAUUCAGGCUUGUGCCAGCUGGGUUUUUUUCUAGUUUAUCUGCUAGCUUGAAAAUUGAGUGCCUAGUUCAUUAACAGAUUUGUCUGUGGUAUUGCUUUUGUACUUGGAACAGCCUUAGAUGUCACCAGGGCUUGAGUGGUCUUGCAUCUGUGAAGGUAGGUGAGAAAAUCAGGGUGUCCAUGGCUAUUACAUCAGACAAAGAGUUUGAUCUAGACUUUCUCUGCUGCAAAUCAGAGAAGUAAAUCAAAAGGGCAACCCCUGUCAUGUUAAAAAAACUCACAGGUCAAUGAAAUCUGGUCUUUGCAAAGCAGAAAUGCUUCCUAUAUCUGGAGAAGCACGUUAAGGGAGAGGUGCUGAGGGAGUCAAGGUGCUAAGGAGUGAGCUUCUGGGAACACUCUGCAUGUGAAAACACUUCAUAAAUCGGUUAUAAAUGAGGUUGACCUCUCUUCCAUCCAUCAGGGGCCUUCCUCACUCCAAGGUUUGUGCUGCUCCUUGUUGUGUCUCAAAUGGGAGGUAGUAUAGAUGAGCACUAAAAAGGAUGUUUACUUGCAACGUUGUUUUUGGAUAGAGAGCACUGAUUGAGAAGGUGCAGAAGAAAACACAGGAACAGGCAUUUGUGUUACACAGCAAAUAUGAGGCUGUCACCAACAAAGAAGCACAGGUUUCCAAACCAUCUCUGCUCAGCCCUGGGUAGGAGGUUUUGUUUCUGUGUUGGAUUGGAAUUUGUAGUUUGUCUUGUCAAAGGAUGGUGGCUGUGUUGGAAAUUAAGAUUUAGCAACCAAUGGUUGAUUGAUUGAGGCUUUUUGGUGGCAGUUCUAGGAAUUAUUGGUUCUUUGAACAAGUUCUGAAAAUGGGCUCAUAGAAAUACAACCAUAUCAAAUUGUAGUGAGGUUCUCUAGCCUUGCACUUGAGCCUUGCCAAGAGAGGUCACAAAUAUGCUCAUACAUUACUUACAUGUUGCCAGGGUUUUUCCUGCAGACUGAAGUUGCCUGCAAAGACCGGAGACAGGCAGAGGUCAAUAUUUCGGAAGACAAUGAUUUUUAAUGGAGUCUGGGUCAGAGCCACAACUUGGAGAAUAACAACACCCUGGCCAGCAAAUACCCUGACCCUGAUUUACAGCUCCGUCAGCAGGCACUGCCUUCUGCCUCUUGUGGAGGGACUAAGGGGGGGAGGACAAAGGGAGAAAACAGCUUUUUGUCGUGCCACGCUUUGCAGGGGCCGUGAAAGUCGUGUCGGUGUGAUGCAAGUGGGGCACAGGAGAGGGUAGAGGCGAUGGUCCGUCCCCCGGACUUGCGAGCUGGCGGCUGCACUGCCCGGCUUGGCAGCGCCCGCCUGAGCACCGCAGCCUCGUUCUCUUCUUUCCGCAUCCUUCCCGCUCCCCUCGGCCAC